AAUAAACAUCAAAAGACGGUAUCUUGCAAACGGACACUUGUGUGCGCGUGAACUGGGAAGGGACGGAGGAGACACGCUCGCAAACGAUCAUGAGCGCUGGCUCAUGUGCGCGUUCCCGUUAGGACGAGUUUCAUAUCUGUUGCUCGCUCUGGGGUGCGCAGGUCUCCGCGACAGUGCCAGUGGGCCACUUAUGAUUGAUUUUAUGACACAAUGCUUCGGGCCAGUUUAAAUUUAGACG